rnacentral:rRNA from 1 species
AUUGAACGCUGGCGGCAGGCCUAACACAUGCAAGUCGAGCGGAUGAGUGGAGCUUGCUCCAUGAUUCAGCGGCGGACGGGUGAGUAAUGCCUAGGAAUCUGCCUGGUAGUGGGGGACAACGUUUCGAAAGGAACGCUAAUACCGCAUACGUCCUACGGGAGAAAGCAGGGGGACCUUCGGGCCUUGCGCUAUCAGAUGAGCCUAGGUCGGAUUAGCUAGUAGGUGAGGUAAUGGCUCACCUAGGCGACGAUCCGUAACUGGUCUGAGAGGAUGAUCAGUCACACUGGAACUGAGACACGGUCCAGACUCCUACGGGAGGCAGCAGUGGGGAAUAUUGGACAAUGGGCGAAAGCCUGAUCCAGCCAUGCCGCGUGCGUGAAGAAGGUCUUCGGAUUGUAAAGCACUUUAAGUUGGGAGGAAGGGUAGUAACCUAAUACGUUGCUACUUUGACGUUAUCGUACAGAAUAAGCACCGGCUAACUACGUGACCA